AAGUGGGGAUGACGUCAAGUCCUCAUGGCCCUUAUGGGUAGGGCUUCACACGUCAUACAAUGGUCGGUACAGAGGGUCGCCAAGCCGCGAGGUGGAGCCAAUCCCAGAAAGCCGAUCGUAGUCCGGAUUGUUCUCUGCAACUCGAGAGCAUGAAGUCGGAAUCGCUAGUAAUCGCGGAUCAGCAUGUCGCGGUGAAUACGUUCCCGGGUCUU
rnacentral:rRNA from 1 species